CAGUAUUAAGUUUUACAGCAAGGCUUUUUGUGCUAACAGCGAACUCUUGUGGUCGCUUUGCGACAUGGCUUAUUGGUUUUCUCCUCUCGUUCAAUAUGGCUGCAAGACGUCUCUGUUGUGCUUAUAUGAUCCUUGGACAAGAUUUGUCCACGCGCAGAUGAUGACAAUCAGCAGCACUGCCAAGAAGAAGGAGAGCAGUACACCAAGGAUGAUCUGCUCAUCUCUGCUUAACAGGCCGUAGACUAUGAGAGACAAAAAGUUCCUUUACUGCUUGCCUGCCAAAAUGCCUGCCUGCCAGCUCACCUGUUCUAUUACUAAACUGCCCACCAGAUUUUUCGGACACGAUCUGCCACUCCCUCUCAUCUUCAAUGAACUCUUUUUAUCACUGCCAGUUUGCCUCUGACUUGUAAAAAUAGGUCAUCUUUAAUGUAGAGUUGCUUGUUCCAAUUAAAAGAUAUUGUAAAAAAAAAAGUAUUGUUAUGGUGCAUU